rnacentral:rRNA from 1 species
UACGUAGGGUGCGAGCGUUAAUCGGAUUCACUGGGCGUAAAGGGUGCGUAGGCGGUCGGGUAAGUCUGAUGUGAAAUCUCACAGCUUAACUGUGAAACUGCAUUGGAUACUAUCCGGCUCGAGGAAUGGAGGGGAGACUGGAAUACUUGGUGUAGCAGUGAAAUGCGUAGAUAUCAAGUGGAACACCAGUGGCGAAGGCGAGUCUCUGGACAUUUCCUGACGCUGAGGCACGAAAGCCAGGGGAGCAAACGGG